CCUACGGGAGGCAGCAGUGAGGAAUAUUGGUCAAUGGACGAGAGUCUGAACCAGCCAAGUAGCGUGAAGGAUGACUGCCCUAUGGGUUGUAAACUUCUUUUAUAUGGGAAUAAAAUGUUCCACGUGUGGGAUUUUGUAUGUACCUUAUGAAUAAGGAUCGGCUAACUCCGUGCCAGCAGCCGCGGUAAUACGGAGGAUCCGAGCGUUAUCCGGAUUUAUUGGGUUUAAAGGGAGCGUAGGUGGAUUGUUAAGUCAGUUGUGAAAGUUUGGGGCUCAACCGUAAUAUUGCAGUUGAAACUGGCGGUCUUGAGUGAAGGAGAGGUGUGCGGAAUUCGUGGUGUAGCGGUGAAAUGCUUAGAUAUCACGAAGAACUCCGAUUGCGAAGGCAGUUCACUGGACUGCAACUGACGCUGAGGCUCGAAAGUGUGGGUAUCGAACAGGAUUAGAUACCCGGGUAGUC
rnacentral:rRNA from 1 species